GAAUACGGUUCGACCAGAAAAACUGUUUAUGAACUGAUUUCCUGAGAUAACUGCAGAACUGGUAGCUGAGUGAUGACCAAACCUGGAAGCCCUGGUUUCUGGACUCACAGAGCAGCCCCCACCAGUAGCUGGGUCAGACCUCUGUUUGGGUUCUGGAUCGUGCCCAUGGGAGAAGUGAUCUCGGCUGCUUUGUUCCACCCCUGCCAUGUGCUGCCAAAAAGGCUUGGUGUUCCUGAGACCGCAGCAGAAAUGUUCCUGGGGAGUUGGAAUCUUGGGGCUCCCCCAUCACCUCAGAACCAACAGGCCUCCAGGAUUUGGAGUUUAAUAGCAGCCCACAGAGGUGAGCACGGGGGCAGCUGUUCAGCAGGCAGCCAGCAAGGCCUGGACCUCGAUGCACAAAAAGAUCUUCCUUUGCUUAGGCAGGGAAGCCCUUGAGACGCUUCCUAUAGAGAUGGUGGCAUAAAUCCACCACAACUAAAUACAGGAAGAAAUUUAGAUCUUUGAGUUCCGGAAAUAGCCUGGGGGCCAAGGUGUGGACAGCAUCAGAGAAUGUUCUGAAGGAAACUAAAGUCUCAAGAGACGGACUUCCCUCGUCGUCCAGUGGCUAAGACUCCAUGCUGCCAGUUCACAGGGCCCAGGGUUCCAGCCCUGGUCAGGGAACUAGAUCCCACGGGCCACAGCUAAGCAUUCACAUGCUGCAACUAAAGAUACCACAGGCCACAACGAGGGUCAAAGACCCCAUGUGCCACAACCAAGGCCCAGUGCAGUAAGAAAAAACAAAAACGUCCCAAGAGAGGCUUCAGCUCCUCAACUGCACAGCACCUAACCACGGACGGUGUGGGGAAGGGCCUGCAGACAGAGAGCCUGUGCACUGCGGCUGAUUCAUGUUGAUGUAUGCCAGAAACCAUCACUAUCAGUUCAGUUCAGUUCAGUUGCUCAGUCGUGUCCGACUCUUUGUGACCCCAUGAAUCGCAGCAUGCCAGGCCUCCCGGUCCAUCACCAACUCCCAGAGUUCACUCAGACUCAUGUCCGUCGAGUCGGUGAUACCAUCCAGUCAUCUCAUCCUCUGUCGUCCCCUUCUCCUCCUGCCCCCAAUCCCUCCCAGCAUCAGGGUCUUUUCCAAUGAGUCAACUCUUCGCAUGAGGUAGCCAAAGUAUGGGAGUUUCAGCCUCAGCAUAAGUCCUUCCACUGAACACCCAGGACUGGUCUCCUUUAGGAUGGACUGGUGGAUCUCCUUGCAGUCCAAGGGACUCUCAAGAGUCUUCUCCAACACCACAGUGCAAAAGCAUCAAUUCUUCAGCGCUCAGCCUUCUUCACAGUCCAACUCUCGCAUCCAUACAUGACCACUGGAAAAACCAUAGCCUUGACUAGAUGGACCUUUGUUGGCAAAGUAAUAUCUGUGCUUUUUAAUAUGAUAUCUAGGUUGGUCAUAACU
rnacentral:lncRNA from 1 species